GACGAACGCUGGCGGCGUGCUUAACACAUGCAAGUCGAACGGUAAGGCCCUUCGGGGUACACGAGUGGCGAACGGGUGAGUAACACGUGGGUGAUCUGCCCUGCACUUCGGGAUAAGCCUGGGAAACUGGGUCUAAUACCGGAUAGGACUCCUGGCUUCAUGGUUGGGGGGGGAAAGCUUUUGCGGGGUGGGAUGGGCCCGCGGCCUAUCGGCUUGUUGGGGGGGGAAUGGCCUACCAAGGCGACGACGGGUAGCCGGCCUGAGAGGGUGACCGGUCACACUGGGACUGAGAUACGGCCCAGACUCCUACGGGAGGCAGCAGUGGGGAAUAUUGCACAAUGGGCGCAAGCCUGAUGCAGCGACGCCGCGUGAGGGAUGACGGCCUUCGGGUUGUAAACCUCUUUCAGCUAUGACGAAGCGCAAGUGACGGUAGUAGCAGAAGAAGGACCGGCCAACUACGUGCCAGCCGCCGCGGUAA
rnacentral:rRNA from 1 species